rnacentral:rRNA from 1 species
UACAGGGGGGGCAAGCGUUGUUCGGAAUUACUGGGCGUAAAGGGCUUGUAGGUGGCCAACUAAGUCACACGUGAAAUCCCCAGGCUUAACCUGGGAACUGCGUGUGAUACUGGAUGGCUUGAAUCCGGGAGAGGGAUGCGGAAUUCCAGGUGUAGCGGUGAAAUGCGUAGAUAUCUGGAGGAACACCGGUGGCGAAGGCGGCAUCCUGGACCGGUAUUGACACUGAAGAGCGAAAGCCAGGGGAGCAAACGGG